rnacentral:rRNA from 1 species
AUUGAACGCUGGCGGUAGGCUUAACACAUGCAAGUCGUGCGAGAAAGUAUCUUCGGAUAUGAGUAGAGCGGCGGACGGGUGAGUAACGCGUAGGAAUCUACCUAGUAGAAGGGGAUAGCCCGGGGAAACUCGGAUUAAUACCGUAUACCUCCUUCGGGAGAAAGAAGGCCUCUCUUUGAAGCUUUCGCUAUUAGAUGAGCCUGCGUAAGAUUAGCUUGUUGGUGAGGUAAAGGCUCACCAAGGCGACGAUCUUUAGCGGGUCUGAGAGGACGAUCCGCCACAUUGGGACUGAGACACGGCCCAGACUCCUACGGGAGGCAGCAGUGGGGAAUAUUGGACAAUGGGCGCAAGCCUGAUCCAGCCAUACCGCGUGUGUGAAGAAGGCCCUAGGGUUGUAAAG